CAGGCCACCUGGGACCAAAUCACAGCUGAGUUUGUAAAUUUGGAUGAGUUAUGAACUCUCUUAGGGCUUCGCUUUCCUCAUUUGUAAAAUGAAGAUAAUAAAAAUACCUAUUUCAGUGCAGUGUUGUUGUGAGGAUUAAGUGAGACAAUUUAUUGAACCUCCAGAAUAUAUUAGCUCUGAGUCUAUGAAGCUCUGGGCAACUGAGUACAUUGAAGCUAUUAUAGUUGAUGGAAAAGAAUUUUGGUGAGAGGAAGGAAAGGAAGAUUCUGCAAGAAGAACAGAACUGAAGAGAAUGCCAGGCCUGGUGCCUGGGCAGCCUAUCUCCAGGCUGAAGACAAAAGGCUUGGGAAAGGGGGAUUUGGACAGAAGAGUCUCAGGGAAGUAGAGGACACACACCUGCUCUGCCACCCUCAGCACAACACCUGGCAUGGUGCCAGGUCAUCAGGAAACCCACCUGCAGGGUGGUGCUUGCAGAGCCCUUCGUAUGGGCUUCCUGGUGCCAUCUUCCCCGGCAGCGAACCGUUCCCCACCCAAGAGCUAACCUGCCUCCGUUCCCCACCUCCAGCUCUGUCUGUCUCCACACCAAGACUCAACCAGAGCAAAAUGCUAAAAGGGCAAUUUCUGUGGCACUGUAAAAGUGAAAAGCACCAGAGUAAUUUACAAUGCCUCCAUUUUCCUCUGUGCCUUUUAAGAAAAGCAUCGUUUUAUUCCUUUGGGGUUCACAUUGUUAUUCCUUCAUUAUUCUCUGUUUGGAGUAGUAAAUGAACACAGAACUGCACGGCAGAGGAAAUAAACAAAUUGCAAAGUUCCUG
rnacentral:lncRNA from 1 species